UAGUAAGAUGAAUGUAUGAGUCGCUCUGGAUAAGAGCAUCUGCUAAAUGACUAAAA
rfam:Salmo salar isolate Sally breed double haploid chromosome ssa29, whole genome shotgun sequence.